AUUGAACGCUGGCGGCAGGCCUAACACAUGCAAGUCGAGCGAGCGGCGGACGGGUGAGUAAUGUAUGGGGACCUGCCCGAUAGAGGGGGAUAACUACUGGAACCGGUGGCUAAUACCGCAUACCAUCCGAUGAGCCCAGAUGGGAUUAGCUAGUAGGUGGGGUAAAGGCUCACCUAGGCGACGAUCCCUAGCUGGUCUGAGAGGAUGAUCAGCCACACUGGGACUGAGACACGGCCCAGACUCCUACGUGAGGCAGCAGUGGGGAAUCUUGCAAAAUGGGCGAAAGCCUGAUGGAGCCAUGCCGCGUGUAUGAAGAAGGCCUGAGGGUUGUAAAGUACUUUCAGCGGGGAGGCGUUACCCGCAGAAGAAGCACCGGCUAACUCCGUGCCAGCAGCCGCGGUAAUAC
rnacentral:rRNA from 1 species